rnacentral:pre_miRNA from 1 species
AAAGUAGUCCCUCUGUCCCAAAAUUCUUGUCUUAGAUUUGUCUAGAUACGGAUGUAUCAAGUCACAUUUUAGUAUUAGAUACAUCCGUAUCUAGACAAAUCUAAGACAAGAAAUUUGGGACAGAGGGAGUAGUUG